GUGAGGAAUAUUGGACAAUGGAUGGAAAUCUGAUCCAGCCAUGCCGCGUGCAGGAAGACGGCCCUAUGGGUUGUAAACUGCUUUUAUACGGGAGCAAUAAGGUCUAUGCAUAGAUUGAUGAGAGUACCGUAUGAAUAAGCAUCGGCUAACUCCGUGCCAGCAGCCGCGGUAAUACGGAGGAUGCGAGCGUUAUCCGGAUUUAUUGGGUUUAAAGGGUGCGUAGGCGGCUUUGUAAGUCAGCGGUGAAAUUUUGCAGCUUAACUGUAAAAGCGCCGUUGAUACUGUGAAGCUAGGAUUUGGUUGCUGUGGGCGGAAUGUGUGGUGUAGCGGUGAAAUGCAUAGAGAUCACACAGAAUAUCGAUUGCGAAGGCAGCUCACAAAGCCAAUAUUGACGCUGAGGCACGAAAGUGUGGGGAUCAAACAGGAUUAGAUACCCUCGUAGUCC
rnacentral:rRNA from 1 species